AAGCGAGAGAGCGGACGAAAUAAAGCCAACGCGACGCAACCUUGUUGAUAGCGAGGAACUUCUUCGUGUUUAUUUCCUCUUCGUCUUACGCACCAAUGAUGAAUCGCUCCGAAAAGAAAGAAAUUAUUUUAUUCGCAAUCCAGUCAAGGCUGAAGUCGUUCGUUACAACGUUUCUUCUAACAAUGAAUCGACAAGGAUUAACAUUUAUAUCUCACGGGCA